rnacentral:rRNA from 1 species
AUCCUGGCUCAGGACGAACGCUGGCGGCGUGCCUAAUACAUGCAAGUCGAGCGGACUUGAGGGAGCUUGCUCCCGAUGGUCAGCGGCGGACGGGUGAGUAACACGUGGGCAACCUGCCCUGCAGAUGGGGAUAACUCCGGGAAACCGGGGCUAAUACCGAAUGAUCGAUAGCACCGCAUGGUGCUAUUCUGAAAGAUGGUUUCGGCUAUCACUGCAGGAUGGGCCCGCGGCGCAUUAGCUAGUUGGUGGGGUAACGGCCUACCAAGGCGACGAUGCGUAGCCGACCUGAGAGGGUGAUCGGCCACACUGGGACUGAGACACGGCCCAGACUCCUACGGGAGGCAGCAGUAGGGAAUCUUCCGCAAUGGACGAAAGUCUGACGGAGCAACGCCGCGUGAGCGAAGAAGGCCUUCGGGUCGUAAAGCUCUGUUGUAAGGGAAGAACGCAUGCCAUUUAACUGAUGGCACCUUGACG